rnacentral:rRNA from 1 species
ACACAAAGUUGCAGCGGGGCUCGGGGUAGAACGUAGCGAAAUGCGAUACUUGGUGUGAAUUGCAGAAUCCCGCGAAUCAUCGAGUCUUUGAACGCAAGUUGCGCCCGAAGCCACCUGGCCGAGGGCACGUCUGCCUGGGUGUCACGCAUCGUUGCCCCCAACCCCAUCGCCCUGCAAAGAGGCGGUGGGGGCAUGCGGGGCGGACAUUGGCCUCCCGUGGGCUGAUGCCUGCGGCUGGCCUAAAAACGAGUCCUCGGCGACGAUCGCCACGACAAUCGGUGGUUGACAAACCUUCGUGACCCGUCGUGCGCGCAUCGCCGCUCAACGCGUGCUCUUUUGACCCUGUCGCGUCGCGCUCGCGACGCUUCCAACGCGACCCCAGGUCAGGCGGGACUACCCGCUGAG